rnacentral:lncRNA from 1 species
GUCCUUGUGAUAGUUUGCUGAGAAUGAUGGUUUCCAGCUUCAUCUAUGUCCCUGCAAAGGACAUGAACUCAUCUUUUUUAUGGCUGCAUAGUAUUCCAUGGUGUAUAUGUGCCACAUUUUCUUAAUCCAGUCUACCAUUGAUGGACAUUUGGGUUGGUUCCAAGUCUUUGCUAUUGUGAAAAGGUUUUAAACUGAUACCAACUUGAACUGUUUAAAGAAAGGUUGGCUGAUAAUUUGAAGGGUGAGAAUUAUGAGUAAACAUCACUAGCAAUGGAAAUAAGUUAGUAAAAUAGGCUAAAAAGGGAAGUUCACAUUCAGGCCAGUGGG